rnacentral:rRNA from 1 species
GACGAACGCUGGCGGCGUGCUUAACACAUGCAAGUCGAACGGAAAGGCCCUGCUUUUGUGGGGUGCUCGAGUGGCGAACGGGUGAGUAACACGUGAGUAACCUGCCCUUGACUUUGGGAUAACUUCAGGAAACUGGGGCUAAUACCGGAUAGGAGCUCCUGCUGCAUGGUGGGGGUUGGAAAGUUUCGGCGGUUGGGGAUGGACUCGCGGCUUAUCAGCUUGUUGGUGGGGUAGUGGCUUACCAAGGCUUUGACGGGUAGCCGGCCUGAGAGGGUGACCGGCCACAUUGGGACUGAGAUACGGCCCAGACUCCUACGGGAGGCAGCAGUGGGGAAUAUUGCACAAUGGGCGGAAGCCGGAGGCAGCAACGCCGCGUGCGGGAUGACGGCCUUCGGGUUGUAAACCGCUUUCGCCUGUGACGAAGCGUGAGGGACGGUAAUGGGUAAAGAAGCACCGGCGAACUACGU